UUCCAAGGUGUUGAGUUCAGUUCAGGGCAGCUUCCCUGUUCUGUUAAUUAAACUUUGGGACAUUGAAAUUGGCUAAGGGAAAUGACUGAAUAGAGAGUAUUACUCUGUUCAUACACUUCCUAGUCUACACCA
ensembl:snoRNA